AAAGAGGGCCCAAUCCUUUAUGUAGCUCUGGAUGGAAUGAAACCUCCUCCCUUUCCUAAAUAUGAAGUGAGAGUCAGAUGCAAUUAUCUUCAUUUUUAGGGAGAGUACUUGAGAAUAAGAUGAUAAAUAUGCAACUAGAUAGCUAGUUGUGCAUAAUUUCUAAUGUUGCCAAUAUGGUAUAUACCUUAGUUUUUUUGUUUUCUCACUGACAGCAUAUAGUUGCUAAAUCUGAGUGGUAUACCCGUCGUGCUCUUCUGUGU
rnacentral:lncRNA from 1 species